UGGGGAAUUUUGGACAAUGGGCGAAAGCCUGAUCCAGCAAUGCCGCGUGUGUGAAGAAGGCCUUCGGGUUGUAAAGCACUUUUGUCCGGAAAGAAAUCCUCUGGGUUAAUACCUCGGGGGAUGACGGUGCCGGAAGAAUAAGCACCGGCUAACUACGUGCCAGCAGCCGCGGUAAUACGUAGGGUGCAAGCGUUAAUCGGAAUUACUGGGCGUAAAGCGUGCGCAGGCGGUUUUGUAAGACGGAUGUGAAAUCCCCGGGCUUAACCUGGGAACUGCAUUCGUGACUGCAAGGCUAGAGUAUGGCAGAGGGGGGUAGAAUUCCACGUGUAGCAGUGAAAUGCGUAGAGAUGUGGAGGAA
rnacentral:rRNA from 1 species